GGCGCAGCGGGUGCGCAGCGCGUUGCCAACACUAAGGUCGGAGGUUCGAAUCCUCCC
rnacentral:tRNA from 1 species